AUCGACUCCGAUCUGUGUCGUUCUUUUCAUCUUCUAGGUUUGAGGAAAUCAGGAAAAUGUUUUCAAGCAGCCAGUUCGACGCCAACUCAGCCGGCGGUGGAAUCACGCCUUCUCAACUUCCCGAUUCCACUCCUUCGCCUGUAAAAAGUCGCGAUUCAGGGGGUGUGGUUCCUGUGAAGCAGAUAAAUGAAGCUUCCCCUGCUAGCAACGAGAAAUCGAGUUUUGUGAUCAACGGCGUGGAUGUUACUAAUAGAAGGUCACAGAUGUUGAUUUCGUUUUGGAUGAUGGAACAGGGCGAAUCAACUGUAGAAGAUGGGUGAACGAGUUUUUUGAUAAGAAGGAAAUGAGGGCAAUACAGUGAGUUUUUUGCAGGUAAUGCUAAUUACACAAUACAAGUUUUGCUUCAAGUGACAGUAUUAUUUACCGAGGCAUUUAUUGUAGACUUGCAAGACGGCAAAUAUUCUGCUUCCUUAUUUUGAUCAUGUAUCUAAACUUAAAGUAACUGAGUGGUGCUGCAAUUCAAUCGCAAAAGGUAGAUUCAUCUCUAAACACUCCUGUGCGUACAUCCCCAUCAAAUCAAGUAUGAAGCCUAAUUUAGGAAAUUUUCUGUAUCUUGAGUGUUUAAUGUUGUGUAUACUACCGUAACCCUAUAAUUUUUUUUGAUCUAGUUUUCCUAGCAAUUCAGUGUUGAUGUACUCAAGGACCAUGAUCAAUUGGUCCUAGAGUAUCUACAGCAAUCCUCAAGCUUUGGACAAGAGAAGGGGACACGUAGAGAUGAAAUUUCUCAACACCUGAAACUUCCAACAGAGAAUAUUAUGGAAUCUAUCAGAUCUCUUGAAGAUGAAGGCCUAAUAUACUCCACAAUCGAUGAAUUUCACUUCAAAGCUGCCUGAUGAGGUUGUUACGAUACUCUCCAACCCUUUGCGUAGUAGUUGGGAUCUUGUUACUAAUCUCAUCUAGAAAACUGUUCAAAAAAUUAAACUGGACUGUAAAUAUAAUGCUUGGAUUCUUCAACUAUGGACGGAAUGAGGGUGACAGAUUUAAAUCCGUAUGCCUUUUUAAAAUAAAAUCUAAGAUGGGUGCGGUCAUGGUGUUUUGUUGCUAUUGUCCUGAAAUUGCUCGUCCUAGAAUUGGGCCAUUGGUGUGGUGUGGUGUAGGCUUUUGGUCUGAAAUGCAGGCCACUCUUGGCCCAUUAUAUGAUUGAUUAGUAGUGAUUGCGUCAAGCAGAGGAACCCGUUUGAGAUGAUUGAUUCAACCCUACAGACAAAGCAAUUGCAGAAGAAGAAUUGUGCAAGUCAAGCGAAGAUUCAAUUAUGAACUUUAGCUGUAGUGAUCUAUAUAAAUAUGGUCCUAAUGGUUUUAGUGUUUUAUGUACGAGACAGUUUGGCAAAGCCGAGGUAAUGAAGAUGGAGUGGCUGCUGCGCUGAGCUGGUUCUGUCAUAACAAGUCGUUUAGUAAGAUACAAAGGCCAAAACUCUCCUCAAAGGCCAAUUGGUAAGG